GAUCAUGGCUCAGGAUGAACGCUGGCGGCGUGCUUAACACAUGCAAGUCGAACGAAGCACUUUAUUUGAUUCCUUCGGAAUGAAGAUUUUGUGACUGAGUGGCGGACGGGUGAGUAACGCGUGGGUAACCUGCCUCAUACAGGGGGAUAACAGUUGGAAACGACUGCUAAUACCGCAUAAGCGCACAGGAUCGCAUGACCUGGUGUAGAAAAACUCCGGUGGUAUGAGAUCGGACCCG
rnacentral:rRNA from 1 species